GCGGCAGGCCUAAUACAUGCAAGUCGAGCGCGCCCUUCGGGGUGAGCGGCGGACGGGUGAGUAACGCGUGGGAAUAUGCCCUUCUCUAAGGAAUAGCCUCUGGAAACGGAGAGUAAUACCUUAUACGCCCUUUGGGGGAAAGAUUUAUCGGAGAAGGAUUAGCCCGCGUUAGAUUAGGUAGUUGGUGGGGUAAUGGCCUACCAAGCCUACGAUCUAUAGCUGGUUUGAGAGGAUGAUCAGCCACACUGGGACUGAGACACGGCCCAGACUCCUACGGGAGGCAGCAGUAGGGAAUCUUAGACAAUGGGCGCAAGCCUGAUCUAGCCAUGCCGCGUGAGUGAAGAAGGCCUUAGGGUCGUAAAACUCUUUCGCCAGAGAUGAUAAUGACAGUAUCUGGUAAAGAAACCCCGGCUAACUCCGUGCCAGCAGCCGCGGUAAUACGGAGGGGGUUAGCGUUGUUCGGAAUUACUGGGCGUAAAGCGCACGUAGGCGGACUGGAAAGUUGGGGGUGAAAUCCCGGGGCUCAACCUCGGAACUGCCUCCAAAACUAUCAGUCUAGAGUUCGAGAGAGGUGAGUGGAAUUCCAAGCGUAGAGGUGAAAUUCGUAGAUAUUUGGAGGAACACCAGUGGCGAAGGCGGCUCACUGGCUCGAUACUGACGCUGAGGUGCGAAAGUGUGGGGAGCAAACAGGAUUAGAUACCCUGGUAGUCCACACCGUAAACGAUGAAUGCCAGUCGUCGGCAAGUAUACUUGUCGGUGACACACCUAACGGAUUAAGCAUUCCGCCUGGGGAGUACGGUCGCAAGAUUAAAACUCAAAGGAAUUGACGGGGGCCCGCACAAGCGGUGGAGCAUGUGGUUUAAUUUCGAAGC
rnacentral:rRNA from 1 species